UUCCCCUAAGUUUUUUUCCCUUCAAUUCUCUUUUCAAAAAGAAAAGAAAGAAAAGCCGGCGCCUAUAAACCCAGAGAAAACCAUUAAAUACAUUAAAUCGAAACGUAAACCCUAAAAGAACACCCAAUAACAGAUUUUUUUCUUACGUUUUCUCAGAUUUCAAAGAGCCAACGAUGGCGAAACCCCUCGCCAGACAUACAGUCCGAAGAAUGUUAGACACUUGUUCUACAAAGCUGUUGCAUCCUCCAACAUUUUCUUCUUCAGCGGCAACAGAUUUUAGCUUAAAUCCAUCUUUUCAUGGUACACAGCAAUCUCUCUAUCCUGUUGACAGUUCAUUUACAUGUUUCAUCGUAAAAAAUAACACACGAUCACUUCAACAUGGUCCUGCAUUGUUCCACAGCCAAAAAUUCUCCACGAAGGUUGAAAAAAGGGAGAAGAAGAUUCACCCAGUUACUGGAAAAAAACCUGACAAUCCCAGAAAUCACAAAAAUCCUAAAAUUUUUAAAUCCAAGUUCUCGGAGCCCGCAAAAAUUCCAAAAAAGAAAGAAUCAGAAUCCAAGCUCACAGAACUCGGAAAAAGACCUAAAGAAACAGAAUUGAAGUUCUCAGAAUCUUUGGAAAUCUCCAGAAGCCCUAUUGACCCUAAAAAUCGCGAAUCCAAGUACUCAGAGUGUGAAAAAGUCCCCCAGAAUAUCGAAUCGAAGCUCUUAGUGUCUGGAAAAAGCUCAAGAAAACUUGAAACUACCGAAAAUCCUGAUUCCGAGAUCUUGGAUUCGGAAAAGUUAUGCAGCAUCCUGAAUGGAGACGUAGCUUUGGAUGAUGUGGUAGAAAAAUUAGAGGAGACUUCAAUUGAAAUGAAUCACUCCUUGUUGGACGAAGUGAUUCAUAAGUCAGACAAUGCAGGGAGAAAGGCCUUAGAGUUUUAUAAGUGGGCAGUACGACAGCCCAAUUGCAAGCCUAAUUUGGACAAUUUUAAUGCUAUGAUAGAUUACUUUGGGAGAAGGAACGACUUCAAGGCAGUGGACAGUUUGCUCAAGGAAAAUAAGAAUGGUUUAAAGGUUGAUCUGAAAACCUUUGAGAUCAUUGUGAAAAGUCUUGUGAAGGCCGGCAGGGAGAAGAAGACGGUGAAUUUUUUUCUUAAGAUGGAAGAGUGCGGAUUUAAGGCGGACGAGAAAGCUCAGAAAAUUGUGGUGCGGGAACUUUGUGAUGCAGGGUUUGCGAGUUAUGCGGAGAAAUUGGUGAAACAGACGGCAGAUGUGUACUAUCCUGAUGAAGAGAUCUGUAAUACACUUGUCAAGGGAUGGUGUGUUGCUGGAAAAUUGGAUGAGGCAAGAAGAAUGGUGAAUGAAAUGUCAAUUGGAAGACUUGCUAUGAGUGCCAUGGCCUAUAAUGCUUUGCUUGAUUGUGUAUGUAGAUUGUGCAUAGUAAAGGACCCUUUUCGGCUUAUGGCUGAGGCAAAGACAAUUCUGCUUGAAAUGGAGGUGGCAGGGGUGCCUCGUAAUGAAGAGACUUUUAAUGUCGUGAUUACACAUUUGUGUGAGAUCAGGCAGACAUCGGAUGCAAUGAAUCUGUUUGAGGAAAUGGAGGGGUAUGGAUGUUCUCCAAACUUAAAAACUUAUGUUGUUCUGAUCAGAAGCCUGUUCCUUGCAGCGAGAGUGGCCGAGGGCCAUGAAAUGCUAGAAAAGAUGAAGGAAGCUGGCGUUGAAGCCGGUGAUAGAGAUUAUUUUGAGUUCAUCAAAGUUUUAUGUAAUAUUCACAGAGUGGAACAUGCACAUAAAGUUUUUCUUACAAUGAAAGACAAUGAAUGUCUUCCUGGAAAUGCAACAUAUAAGCUACUCAUCAGAAAGCUUUGUGGAGCUGGUCACCCUGACAAAGGCAAGCAACUAUUUGAUGAAGCCGUUGAAAGGAACUUGAUUCCAAGCAAUUUAACCGAUUUACUUGUGCAGAGCAAAGUUGAAAAGCCUGCACAGGAGAAAAAGAAAAUGUCCAAAAAAUUGACCUUGGCAAUGAAAAAGAAGAAGAGGAACCUGAAACAGAAGAAAAUUAGGUUAAGCUUUGUUAAGAAACCGAGAAAGCCAAAGAUGAUGUGAUUGUGAAGUACCUGGUUGCAUAUUUGGUUGGUUCAGAAUGGUCUUGCACCUGCCACUUCCAUGGAAGUGUCUGCAGCUAUUAUACUCGAUUUUAACUAGUUUUCUAAAGGCUGAAAUAUUGUGCAAACAGAAUGCUGCUGUGAAUGACAGUCGAAUCAAAGAGGUGUGUAUGCUUCACUGUACUUGUCUCGUCCUAGCUUGAGCUGACAUUCUCUAUUCUGUGUCUUUGUUUCUUUGGAGGUUAAUCUAAUGAAUUGAUGGGCUUGGUCACGAUUUAAAGUUUGAGCUAAGCCUGUGAGAAUAGCUUAAAUUUCCAAAAAGUAUUUUAGAACUUAGAUUGGUGAUUUUUUGAAGAAGAGUUGAAGAUUGUAGCACUGCCGAGAGGUUCAAUUGGAGGGGGAGUAUCUUGCAGCAUUGUUCUUGAUCGGUGCUUGGAGUAAUCUGCCUUUAAUUUGGUAGAGGAGGGAGCCUGAAUCCGAUCAUUGAAAAAAAAAAUAAAUUUAGGCUCUCUGCUGGUUUGAUAUUCAUAAAGAUGAAAUGGAUAUAUGGAGGUUGAAUAUUGCACUGUAAUAGAGAAUUGAAUGAAAUUUUUUAGAUUGGAUGUUCUUUUCUACCA